rnacentral:tRNA from 1 species
CGCAUCGGUGGUUUAGUGGUAAAAUUAGCCGUUGCCAAGCAUUCGAUUCAUCGAAUGAAGCAACAUCGGCUAGCCCCGGGUUCGAUUCCCGGCCGAUGCAAUAGAUUUAAUUAUUA